AGCAAAGACUGCAGCGAAACGAGACGAGUCAUUGGAUAAAUGCUGGGCUUUGUCCCGCCCAUCAGACGCUCAGCUCUCUGGGGUCUAUGGGGCGGUGGGCUGGCCUCGGCCGGCCCAGAUGCUCAGCUUCUGCAUGAUGAUUGAUGAUCGGUCCUGAGGCUGAUUCCCUUUUGAUUUACAGCGAAAUGAGCGACUCAGCGAUCUUUUGGUGUAAACAUCCGUGGGAGCAUUUUUAAUUUUCAUUCUGUUCUGAGUUGAACCGAGACUUUUCUAAUCCUCUUAGCUGCAUUUCUUUGUUUAAGAACGACUAUCACCAGCAAAGCAGACACCA